AUUGAACGCUGGCGGCAGGCCUAACACAUGCAAGUCGAGCGGAUGAAGGGAGCUUGCUCCUGGAUUCAGCGGCGGACGGGUGAGUAAUGCCUAGGAAUCUGCCUGGUAGUGGGGGAUAACGUCCGGAAACGGGCGCUAAUACCGCAUACGUCCUGAGGGAGAAAGUGGGGGAUCUUCGGACCUCACGCUAUCAGAUGAGCCUAGGUCGGAUUAGCUAGUUGGUGGGGUAAAGGCCUACCAAGGCGACGAUCCGUAACUGGUCUGAGAGGAUGAUCAGUCACACUGGAACUGAGACACGGUCCAGACUCCUACGGGAGGCAGCAGUGGGGAAUAUUGGACAAUGGGCGAAAGCCUGAUCCAGCCAUGCCGCGUGUGUGAAGAAGGUCUUCGGAUUGUAAAGCACUUUAAGUUGGGAGGAAGGGCGGUAAGUUAAUACCUUGCUGUCUUGACGUUACCAACAGAAUAAGCACCGGCUAACUUCGUG
rnacentral:rRNA from 1 species